ACUACUUCUGGACUGAUCAGCUGUGUGUGUGGAUGGACGCCACGUCGUCUGAACCUUUAUGUCCAAUUCGAUAUGUAUGCACAAGCCACACUGUUAUCGUAAUCGUUAAAUUAAGUUUUUCGCUAUUCAUCACGUGCCAAAUACAAAGAAGUAAAAAUGUUAAGAACACCAUCAUGUGGUUCUCCUGUCCUAGGCAAAUCUCCCCGUCUUUAUUAUCCUUUUGGCAAUAUUCAAGGCAGGAAUGUAUUGAAAAAAUACAACUUUCAUGAAAGUGAUGACAACACUGGUAUAACUAAGAUUCUCUUUUUGGGAUGUGGAGACCUAAGAAAAACUUUUCACGCAAUAACUACUAAACACCCACAACAUACUCAUCUUAAUGAUGCUCUUCCAUCAAUUUUGGCUCGCAACAUUAUGGUGUUGAAAAUUGUUUCAGCCAAUGAUUUCAAUCCAGAUGACACUGAUUUAUCUGGGAUGUGUGGUAUAACACGGAUUGGGCGGAAAUCACACAGAAAAGAUUUCUAUCAGUUCUGAAUGACCUGUUGAAUGAGAAGCUCCCAGAAAAUGUUCAUAUUCCUGACAGCAAUCAUUUGCAAAAGUUGAAGAAAGUUUGGAGUUCUUGGCAUGCUACUGCCUCACAAAAUCAAUUGGAAUCAGAUCUACUGAUGAAAAAAAUACAUAUAGAAAGGAUUCACUUGAUUGUAAAAGGCAUGGAUAGUAUGUCGGUCGGAGGGUUGCGGGAGAAAUCUAAGAAUCCUGUGCAUUUCGUUUCUUCAGUCAUCGAUUGGUUGGCUGAUCACGUCGAAAAACAUUUUGGUGUCGGUAAUGAAGCUUCUACAGAAAGAGUGGUCAGAGGUGAAGCCCUCUCUUAUUUUCUCUGGAAAUUGCAGAAUCAAUCAGGAAUCUGGCGUAUGCAUUAAUCCAACACUUCUAGACCCAACGUCACUCGAAUGGAAAGUCCACUAUUUAUCAUCUCCUUUCGAUAGCUACCUGCCUCUGACCAAAGAAGAGCUGGAUACUUCAGUCAAGAGCAAUAUGAUGACCCAAUCUUGCCAGAAAAUACUAAAGAGACUUUUGCUUUCUUAAAAAAGUAAAGUAGUAUCAUUUCCUAUUUCCUAUGGAUCUGGUUGAAGGUCAUAACUCAUAAGGAACGUUACGUAAGUGUCAUAUGCGGUGGUGUAAGGUUGGGUGAGAAUUAGGAAAGACACGUGUUCAUCAUUAUCAAGCAGGUAGAAUUGCUGCAAGGCUUGAGUUGAGAGGUAAGGUUGAACGAAAGUUUUCUAUUUCCUAUGAAUUUGGUUGAAGGUCAUCAGGAACAUUACGUUAAAGUGUCAUGCGGUGGUGUAGAGGUUGGGUCAGAAUGACACGGGUUUCAUCAUUAUCAAGCAGACCCAUCCCCAGCAACGUCAUCCUGCAGAAGGAAAGGCCAGUUUGCAUUUCAAUCGAAGGUCAUGGAGUAAAACGUUUCAUGCAGUGGUGUAGAGGUUGGGUGAGAACGGGACUUUUUGCAUCAUUAUCAAAAAGGUAGAAAAACCGCAAGGUUUGAGAGGUGAGGGUGAGAAAAAAUCGUAUAAAAGGAGAGAGAAAUGGCGAUAGAUCAGUCGAGUGAGCAUCUCCGACCCGGCAACAACUGCACUAUUUGUCAUCAACUGCAUCGUAGUUAAUUCUGGCCUCGUUCUACUGUUGGUUAUCGUUGAUCGCUGUGCCGACCAGUGGUGUACCGAUGUCUCCUGGGUAUGGCGGAUACCAAACCGCAACGCCGCCGUCUUACUACAAAACAAUAUCAAACCCAACGACCAGUUACUACACCGAGGCCCCCAACUACUACACUGAGAAGGCCAAAUAUUACGGGCCCAAGUAUUACUC